UGAAGGUGAAGUCGUAACAAGGUCUCCGUAGGUGAACCUGCGGAGGGAUCAUUACAAGAACGCCCGGGCUUCGGCCUGGUUAUUCAUAACCCUUUGUUGUCCGACUCUGUUGCCUCCGGGGCGACCCUGCCUUCGGGCGGGGGCUCCGGGUGGACACUUCAAACUCUUGCGUAACUUUGCAGUCUGAGUAAACUUAAUUAAUAAAUUAAAACUUUUAACAACGGAUCUCUUGGUUCUGGCAUCGAUGAAGAACGCAGCGAAAUGCGAUAAGUAAUGUGAAUUGCAGAAUUCAGUGAAUCAUCGAAUCUUUGAACGCACAUUGCGCCCCCUGGUAUUCCGGGGGGCAUGCCUGUUCGAGCGUCAUUUCACCACUCAAGCCUCGCUUGGUAUUGGGCAACGCGGUCCGCCGCGUGCCUCAAAUCGUCCGGCUGGGUCUUCUGUCCCCUAAGCGUUGUGGAAACUAUUCGCUAAAGGGUGUUCGGGAGGCUACGCCGUAAAACAACCCCAUUUCUAAGGUGACCUCGAUCAGGAUGAUCCA
rnacentral:rRNA from 1 species